CUUUCCUCUAUAAAUAACGUGAUCUCCUUCAAUCGUCUUCACUGAUAGAUUAGGGUUUUUGAUAUCGGCGGCGAAAUAUCUGCUUUUCGUGACGAUGCCGCAGCUAAGACAGUUUAGGUGGGUAGAGGAUAAAAGGAUGCUGCACGGUGCACCCCGGGCUUCUCUGAGACAUUCCGUGAAGGUGGAAGCCCCAAUGCUCGUGCUAGAUUUAACUGCCGUUCAGUGUUGCAGUUCUGUCGAUUUUUCUACGUCUGAUCUGUGUCAAUGUAACGGCUAAAUCUAUCAAUUUCUGAUCUUUCAAGAAGCCUGUGAUGAAACAUCCAAAUUAUGGAGGUGCAGAGGGCUACAAGUCCCUGUUUUGCAGGGUGAACCUCUUGUAACUGCUGCAUUCAGAUGACAUUUCUGGAUUUUCUGAGGCUUUUUAUUUCGAUUAACUAUUCUUAUUUUGCUUGUGCAAUUAAAUAGUUCUGAGGAUUCGUUUAUAUUCAUAAUAGGCUUUGUUGUUUUGUUAAUUGCAUUCUGAACAUCAUCUAACUUUUAAUAUACUCACUUUGAUUUGCAGAUUUAAAAUUAUAAUUUAUUUGUGUUAAAUGAGAUGCCUGUGAUGACACAUCCAAAUUAUGGAGGUGCAGAUGGCUCCAAGUCCCUGUUUUGCAGGGUGAACCUCUUGUAGCUGCUGCAUUCAGAUGACAUUUCUGGAUUUUCUGAGGCUUUUUAUUUCGAUUGACUAUUCUUAUUUUGCUUGUGCAAUUAAAUAGUUCUGAGUAUUCGUUUAUAUUCAUAAUAGGCUUUGUUGUUUUGUUAAUUGCAUUUUGAACAUCAUCUAACUUUUAAUAUACUCUCUUGGAUUUGCAGAUUUAAAAUUAUAAUUUAUUUGUGUUAAAUGAGAUGCCUGUGAUGACACAUCCAAAUUAUGGAGGUGCAGAUGGCUCCAAGUCCCUGUUUUGCAGGGUGAACCUCUUGUAGCUACUGCAUUCAGAUGAUAUCUCUGGAUUUUCUGAGGCUUUUUAUUUCGAUUUCCAAUUGUUAUUUUGCUUGUGUAAAUUAACUAAUUCUAUUUAUUCGAUUAUAUUCAUAUUAUAGAUCCUCUUUCCAACUUUCUUUUACCACUAAAUUUUAAUGUUCAAACAAAAUAAUUAGUUAUCAGGAGCUUGUCUGAAAAUGCCAUUGUUUGCAUUAAUGACCUAUCAAAAUUUUAAUGUUUGGGAGCUGCUGCUUUUACAUUACUUGUUGCCCAUUUCUUUCAACAGGUACAAUUUUUGGUAACUGAGUGCAACCAUUUUAUCUUGUGCCAAGGAUGAUUUGUCUGCAAAAUGGAUGUGCUGUGGAACCAAGUCUCUGGUACCAGGAGAACCUCUUUGGGAAAACAACAUUUAAUAUGACAUAAGCGUACAUUUCUGAGGCGCAAAUUUGAAUUUUUUUUUUUUAUUUCUAUUUUUUUUUACAGUUUAGCUGAAAACACUGAGGACUGUCUAUUUAAUUGUUUGUAUUCCAUUGAAAUUUGUUCGAUUGCGUUUUUCCAAA